CUAGCUGUGUAUUCAAUUUUCUUUCGAACGCAAGAAGUAGUUGACGACGAUUAACCGUUAGUGAGAGCGGUGUAAAGAAGAAGGGCGUGAUCCGGCGUGAACUGCAGGUACAGGUGAAACAGGACAACCGACAAAUCCACGAGUUACGGUACUACCGGUGCUACUUGUCUCUAACACUGGACGUCACAUCUUUUUUAUCAAUUCAGCGUUUACUUCUGCGUGACCCUUUCUUUUCCUACUUUGCCGACUUUCUUUAUUGCAAACUCCACGACAUGCAGACGACAAGGAAGCGACGUAUUUGUCGUGACAUCGAGAUGAGAAACGUGCCGAGCAAGAU
rnacentral:misc_RNA from 1 species